GGAACAAUACUAGAUAACAUUAAACGAAUUAUUACAAUAAAACGAAUUAGGCAAAAAUAAAAAGCUUUUGAACCACAAGACAAUGUCUGGAUUAAAAUCCAAAAAUAACCCGGACAACAGAAAUGACAACAAUAUAAACCAUCAAAAACUCCUCCAUAGCUAGCCAAGAAAGGAGUGUCUUUCCAAUCCCCAAGCUCGACGUCCUAGCCACUGAGUUGCACUUAAGGAUUACUGGGACCUUCACCAAUUUCAAUGUCAUUAACUUUAUUCAACAAUUUCUGGGAAAAACAUAUGAAAUGGGCGGUCCUUAACCAUUGGCCCAUGCAGUUGUUCUAGGAUAUCCGUUGCGCUCGAGCUGUGGUAAAUGAAUUCAUAUCUGAAUAAGAAAAAUAAGGCCAAAUAUAUUAUUAACUCGAGACACUAUGCGACACCACAACACCUCCUGUUGGACACAUGCAAGACACGAUUGGGCUAUUUUUGAAAAUUAACCUAUGUAGCCUAAUGUGGUUAGAAGUGCAAACCCAAUAACCGUGACCUCAAAGAUAUAUGGCCCAAAAUUAAUUUACAGAAUGACCUAUUUUGCAAAAACAACCGAUAUGGCCAAAAGUGGUUAAAGAUACAAACUCAAUAAGGACGGAUCUUAAAGUAAUAUGAAACCCAAUUGUGGACUUAAGAUCCUAAUACAUGGAUUAUUGAACAACUUUUGCAAGAUUGGCCCCAGUUUGCAAGAAUGGCCGAUGUGGCCAAAAAUGGCUAGACAUGCAAGAUUUUGCUAAGACUCCGCGAAGCCAAGAACUUAAGACUCAUUAGAGUGGCCGGAUCCUAUGUGGGUUGCCUACGUAUCCCGUCCUGGAAGACGAGAACCAUGUUCACAUAGUUCAGGAAGCUCAAAUAUGGGAGAAAGCUUUAAAAAUGACACUAAUUUGGAAAUUUCUUUUUUGUCUUUUUGAAAAAUGAUGAAAAAUAUAAAAUCUUUUUGGAUUUUUUAAAUCUUUUUUUGAAUUUUUGAAAAAUGAUGGAAAAUGUAAAAUCCUUUUGGAUUUUUUUUAUUCUCUUUUUGGAUUUUUUUGAAAAUCAUGAAAAAGUGUAAAAUCUUUUUGGAUUUUUUUUUUUUUUGGAAAAUAAUGGAAAAGGGUAAAAUAUCUUUUUGGAUUUUUUAUUUUCAUUUUUUUUUUGAAAAAUUAGUGAAAGAAAAAUAUAAUUGGGCUUACUUGCUUCAUUUUCACACUUCUUUCCCAAACAUCGGUCCAUUAAAUGACCUUUUUAACCUCAAAGAUGCAACAUGUAUCACAUAGGGAUGACUGAAUGUCUUUUUAGGCCACGGGCCCAUUUUUGAUAAAAUUUGAAUAGGCUUCCCACAAAGAGACACGGUGCCUGGGACCAAGCCCUACCAGGUUUAAAUGACACGAUGCAAAUAAGAAUGACCUAAGUUUAGGGUUCCCUAACAAGUCAAUUCGAUGGAGCGUAUUAUCGAUGGUAUCUGAUCAAGAUUUCCACCCACUCCAUACGUCUGACGGCCCCCUCCUAAAUUAAGGGUGACUCAAUAAAGAGUUUGUGCACGCGACUCCGAGACUUGUUACAGAAAGAAGACUCAUGGUUAUGAAAAUGAUGAUAGAUUAUAAAGCAGUAACACAUUAAGAAAAAUGAUAAACAAAUAACCAACAAAACAAGGAAAUAAGAGAAACAACGUAAAUAAACAAAGCAAAUAAAGAAAACAAACACCUCAAAUAUCCUAAAAGCCAACAAGAUCAAGUACUAGCUCGAACCUGCAUGUCCCCAGCAGAGUCGCCAUAGAUAUAACACCCCUUUUUUCCAACAUUACUAAUUCUCUUAAAAUAUAAAAAGAUUUAGUAAAGCUCUAAAGGGUUUUCAAAUUUAAAAAGUGACAAAGAAGUGUGUUCAAAAGGAAAUAACUAAGAUUCGCUACAUGACAUUUAUUUCGGUGUGCCAAAUCACUUUUUUUAAAAAUAAUUUUCUUUUUAAAACACUUUAGACUCCAAAACUAAGUUUGCACCAGAGAUUCAGGUAAAGGGAUUCAUUUGACUCGGGGUGAAGGUGUUAGACACUCUCCAAGUCCCCUAACUAGUAAGGUUGCGUACUCGAUCAAGUUGCUUUUAAAAUAUUCAAUUGAGGUAGAACACACAAAAACAAAGUAAACAUACAAAAGGUUAAGGCCGUCCCCACCUAAAAAGGAUAAAAAUAAAUAAAAGAAAAUAUUAAAGUUCUAUUCUACCCUUCUUCACGUCAUCCAAUUUCUGGAUUUCAUUUACAUGUACUUCGGGGCAUAACCCGGAUAAAAUAUAUACAAAUAUUUCGGGGCAUUCCCCGAAUAAAUUUAAUUAAGGGAAUGACCUUGUGCCUCAAAGCUAACAAAAAUCCCAAAGUUUGCCUACCCAGGUGAUGACAGCCUAAACAUGCUCCUAACAAUUAAAAUAAUAAAAUUAUCCAAACAAAACAUCCAUUUUUAGAGUCCAACCUCUUUAAUUUAAGCCCAACAUCUUCAUGAACUAAUUCAUUCCAAACUUCUGUCUCUUAGUGAUUAAUUGAAACACGCAAUUAAAUUCAUCAGAAAUGGAAGCUAACCAAUUGACAAGAACAAAUAGAGCACCAAAUAACAAGAAGUCACUGAAACUGAGCAAUGAAACGUUAAACUUUAGCAAAACAGAGCAACAACAAAAUGAUAAAACGACGGAAGCCAAAUAUUAAGCAAAAUAGCAUAAAGAAGAAAUAGACCUCAAAAAGAUAUAACCUCGUCGGAUGACACUCGAAUCGGAGUUAACCUCGAUGGAAAUCGAAUUGGUAUAAAAAAAGUUAUAAUUGAGUGCCAAUGAUUCAAAGCGGCAAAUCGUAAAUCAUGCCGGCAACGUAAAAGGAACUUCACUGGAGAAAUUCAAACUUGCCGACGAACUCGAAUUCAGCUCAAUGAUCUGGAGAAAAUGAGAAUGACAAUGGCUUCAAAUGGAAUCAUUUUCUUCUAUCCAUGGUGAUAGCUCCAGAUAACAACGGUUUGAAGCAAAUCGAAAGCUGACUAAAAACCUGACGAUGAAGAUUAGAACCAAAACACGAAAUUGACUUAGAACAAACAGAGAAAUCAAACUCCUUAACUAGAUCGAGGGAUGGCCGCUGGGCGUAGAGGUUUGGUCGUCGACGAAAUUGGGGUGGAACUCGGUGAUUGACCUUUUGAGUUGAGGUGUGUCUUUGGGUGGUGAAGGUGGUUGUUAGGCUGCUAGGGUUUUUGUUUUAGUGUCUUGGUUGAAGAAGAAAAUGGGAUGGCUGGGGAGGGGAGGGAGGAGGUCUAGGGUUUUUGUUGAGUCGAAAGAGAAGAAGGCAACCAUGGUUGUUGAUGGAGCUCAUUUUGGAGUUAGCGGCUGAGAGGGGUGGUUGAGUUCUCUCGCUGAUGUUCGGAGAAGAUGGCAGAGGCGACUUGAGGUGAUGGGAUCUCCGGUGAGUUUGGUGGUUUCCAGGUGGGGUGGGCGGCGCUGCUUGUGGUCUAGGGGUUGUAGGAUUUAUUGUUGUGUAGAUGAAAAGAAGCAAAAUCCGAUGGGAGGGGGUUAGUAUUGUUAGUUAAAGGGUUUUAUACUAAAGCUGUCAACCGGGCCGGGUUGAUCCGGGACCGACCCGGACCG
rnacentral:lncRNA from 1 species